rnacentral:rRNA from 1 species
GACGAACGCUGGCGGCGUGCUUAACACAUGCAAGUCGAACGGAAAGGCCCUGCUUUUGUGGGGUGCUCGAGUGGCGAACGGGUGAGUAACACGUGAGUAACCUGCCCUUGACUUUGGGAUAACUUCAGGAAACUGGGGCUAAUACCGGAUAGGAGCUCCUGCUGCAUGGUGGGGGUUGGAAAGUUUCGGCGGUUGGGGAUGGACUCGCGGCUUAUCAGCUUGUUGGUGGGGUAGUGGCUUUCCAAGGCUUUGACGGGUAGCCGGCCUGAGAGGGUGACCGGCCACAUUGGGACUGAGAUACGGCCCAGACUCCUACGGGAGGCAGCAGUGGGGAAUAUUGCACAAUGGGCGGAAGCCUGAUGCAGCAACGCCGCGUGCGGGAUGACGGCCUUCGGGUUGUAAACCGCUUUCGCCUGUGACGAAGCGUGAGUGACGGUAAUGGGUAAAGAAGCACCGGCUAACUACGUG